UUUAUUCUGCUCACUUCCAAACACACAGGAACGCGGCCGACGGUCCCAUUCUCAACCCCAGAUAGCCAGAUGAGUCUCUCCCUCCAGGUUUCUCUUUCUGGUGUAACAGACGCUCUUUCCAGAAAAGCCUCCAAGUUUACAGGAGCACCGAGUUUUUCUUCUUCGCAAAUAAUCCGGACUCCAGAUUGUGUUCAGUAAAUUCAUACGGAAAUGAAGGAACACUCUUAUUUCCUGAGGCAAAGUGAAAAUGCUCGAACUGCACCUGCCCCCAUCGUCUCUGCAGUUCCCUGGAAUCACUGGCGAGGACCAUUUGUUGUGUGCCCAGGGAAACAGGUUCGGGUCAUUAGGCUUGGCAACAAGCAGCUUUACUUCCUGAACCAUCUUGCCAGCCCCUCUGAAUGUCCCUUAGCAACAUAUUGUAUGCAUCUUUUCUAGUAUUGCAUGCAUGUGGCAGUACAUGGUACGGACUCUAUGUCUGACUUCCUUCACUCAGCAUGUCUUAAAAUUCAUUACCUAUGUAACCCAAAUGCAAACUUUGUCUCUUUUUCAGUCCUGAGUUCUCUUUAGUUGUAUGGAUAACACCGCAAAUGGUUUCCCUAUUUAAUAAGUGUUGAUGGCCAUCUAGUUUAAGUAAAGUAAGUCUUCACACUUUAUUCCCUUUUGUUUCUAACGUUGUAUAGGUCUCCUACUUUUUUUGGGGGGGGACUGUUAGUUUAUAUUUUCCAUGUGAACUUCAGAGUUACCUUGUCGCUGUUUUAAAAACUGUUUUUCAAGCUGAGAGUGCCUUGAACCAACAGAACAAUUUCUUUUCCUUCUGUUGUUUGCUCACUGGUCAACUUAAGGAGAAUUGCUAUAUGAUUGACACUGAAUCCUCCAACCUACAAACAUCUAUAUCUUCAUUAACUCAUGUACUCUUUAAUUCCUCUCAUGAAUAUUUUAUAGCUUUCGGCAUGGGGAAUUUGCAUAUCUUUUAAAAUAUAUUCGGAAGUAAUUUAGCAAUUUGUGAUGCUAUUGUAAACAAAAAUAUUUUGGAAUUCUAAUUUCCAAUUGUUUAUGGCUGGUACAAAGAAAUAACUGUUGGGGGUAGCUUCAUAUUAUUCAACUUGAUUAAACAUAUUCAUUAA